CAUUAUUUGUAUCAUUAUUGUAUCAUCACUGUUUCAUUAUAAUAAAUAAUAAUAAUAAAAUUUUCCAAUAUUUUUUUUUAUUAUUUAUUAUAAUGAAACGGUAAUGAUACAAUAAUGAUGAAACAGU
rnacentral:pre_miRNA from 1 species